GCUUAGAGAGGGGUCAAUGUCCUAUCAGCUAGUUGGUAGGGUAAUGGCCUACCAAGGCUAAGACGGGUAGCCGGCCUGAGAGGGUGGUCGGCCACACUGGGACUGAGACACUGCCCAGACUCCUACGGGAGGCUGCAGUCGAGAAUCUUUCGCAAUGCCUGAAAGGGUGGCGAAGCGACGCCGCGUGUGGGAAGAAGGCCUUCGGGUUGUAAACCACUGUCGGGAGUUAAGAAAUGCAAGGGUGUUAAUAGCAUCCUUGCUUGACUAAGGCUCCGGAGGAAGCCACGGCUAACUCUGUGCCAGCAGCCGCGGUAAUACAGAGGCGGCAAGCGUUGUUCGGAGUUAUUGGGCGUAAAGAGCACGUAGGCGGCUUUGUAAGUCAGUUGUGGAAGCCUUCUGCUCAACGGAAGAACAGCAUCUGAUACUGCAAGGCUAGAGUGCGGAAGGG
rnacentral:rRNA from 1 species